rnacentral:rRNA from 1 species
UACGUAGGGUGCGAGCGUUAAUCGGAAUUACUGGGCGUAAAGCGUGCGCAGGCGGUUUUGCAAGCCGGAUGUGAAAUCCCCGGGCUUAACCUGGGAAUGGCAUUUGGGACUGCAAGGCUGGAGUGCGGCAGAGGAGACUGGAAUUCCUGGUGUAGCAGUGAAAUGCGUAGAUAUCAGGAGGAACACCGAUGGCGAAGGCAGGUCUCUGGGCUGACACUGACGCUCAUGCACGAAAGCGUGGGGAGCGAACGGG